GGCAAUUUAUGUGAUUCCUCAGGUCCAAGGACAGCCCCCUGUGGACCUGCUGGAAUACAGGUACAGUACAGACAGGUAACCAAUUACAGUACAGUGUAUCAUUUGAAUUAGUACCCGCCCAGCUUGGAGAUAAUGAGGCCAACGGUUAUACAAUCUAAUUAUCUCCAAGCGCACAAAAGACCACGUUUUAUUAUGUCCCAGAAAACUGCAUAAAAAUCCAUAACUUUAACAUUAAUAGAGGAAAACAGCUCAUUCAACCAUUCAUUUAAUAGCUUGCGUUCGAGUACAUUAAACAUACGAAUGUCGCUCUAAUCCCACGAACAGACUGGGCUAUUUCUGCCGUAUAAAGUCCGUUCGGUAUUUUGAGUCGUGAGUCUCUGAUGGCGGCCAUGUUUUCAGACGGUUUAGCUGGCAGCGGGACCUCGCCGCCAACUUAUGGAACUAAACUCGGGUAUAAGUUCAUGCGAAGCCCCGCUGUCUGUCUAGUAGUGGAACUCGUUCGGUACAUGAAUGAGGACCACCUGGUAGCAUGGUACUUGAGUUGCGGUUAACCGCAGAAACCACAGGCUAAUUGCCGCCACGCGACCCACUGUAGGGGGUCUCCAUUCGUGUGGUUAUUUGGCAGGUUCCCUUCG